rnacentral:rRNA from 1 species
UACGUAGGGGGCGAGCGUUGUCCGGAUUUAUUGGGCGUAAAGCGCUCGCAGGCGGUCCGAUGCGUCGUGCGUGAAAGCCCCCGGCUCAACUGGGGAGGGUCGUGCGAUACGGUCGGACUUGAGGCCAGUAGGGGGAUGCGGAAUUCCUGGUGUAGCGGUGAAAUGCGCAGAUAUCAGGAGGAACACCGGUGGCGAAGGCGGUUCUCUGGGCCUUACCUGACGCUGAGGAGCGAAAGCAUGGGGAGCAAACAGG